rnacentral:misc_RNA from 1 species
GAUGAAGAACGUAGCGAAAUGCGAUAAGUAAUGUGAAUUGCAGAAUUCAGUGAAUCAUCGAAUCUUUGAACGCACAUUGCGCCCGCCAGUAUUCUGGCGGGCAUGCCUGUUCGAGCGUCAUUUCAACCAUCAAGCCCCCGGCUUGUGUUGGGGACCUGCGGCUGCCGCAGGCCCUGAAAACCAGUGGCGGGCUCGCUAGUCACUCCGAGCGUAGUAAUACAUCUCGCUCAGGGCGUGCUGUGGGUUCCGGCCGUUAAAAAGCCUUAUUUACCCAAGGUUGACCUCGGAUCAGGUAGGAAGACCCGCUGAACUUAAGCAUAUCAAUAAGCGGAGGA